rnacentral:rRNA from 1 species
UACGAACCGCGCGAACGUUGUUCGGAAUCACUGGGCGUAAAGGGUGCGUAGGCGGGUCUUUAAGUCAGGGGUGAAAUCCUGGAGCUCAACUCCAGAACUGCCUUUGAUACUGAAGAUCUUGAGUUCGGGAGAGGUGAGUGGAACUGCGAGUGUAGAGGUGAAAUUCGUAGAUAUUCGCAAGAACACCAGUGGCGAAGGCGGCUCACUGGCCCGUUACCGACGCUCAGGCGCGACAGCGUGGGGAGCAAACAGG